UAGUCCACGCCGUAAACGAUGAGGAUUAGCUGCUGGGCUUUAGAGCUUGGUAGCGCAGCUAACGCAUUAAAUCUUCCGCCUGGGGAGUACGGUCGCAAGAUUAAAACUCAAAUGAAUUGACGGGGGCCCGCACAAGCGGUGGAGCAUGUGGUUUAAUUCGAUGCAACGCGAAGAACCUUACCUACUCUUGACAUCCAGGGAAUCUUUCAGAGAUGAAGGUGUGCCUUCGGGAACUCUGUAACAGGUGCUGCAUGGCUGUCGUCAGCUCGUGUUGUGAAAUGUUGGGUUAAGUCCCGUAACGAGCGCAACCCUUGUCCUUAGUUGCCAGCACGUAAUGGUGGGGACUCUAAGGAGACUGCCGGCGCAAGCCGUGAGGAAGGUGGGGAUGACGUCAAAUCAUCAUGGCCUUUAUGCCUAGGGCUACACACGUGCUACAAUGGUAAGUACAGAGGGCAGCGAUCCCGCGAGGGGGAGCCAAUCUCAGAAAGCUUAUCU
rnacentral:rRNA from 1 species